rnacentral:rRNA from 1 species
GAUGAACGCUGGCGGCGUGCCUAAUACAUGCAAGUCGAGCGAACAGACGAGAGUGCUUGCACUCUCUGACGUUAGCGGCGGACGGGUGAGUAACACGUGGGUAACCUACCUAUAAGACUGGGAUAACUUCGGGAAACCGGAGCUAAUACCGGAUAAUAUUUAGCUUCGCAUGAAGCAAUAGUGAAAGACGGUUCUGCUGUCACUUAUAGAUGGACCCGCAGUGUAUUAGCUAGUUGGUGAGGUAACGGCUCACCAAGGCAACGAUACAUAGCCGACCUGAGAGGGUGAUCGGCCACACUGGGACUGAGACACGGCCCAGACUCCUACGGGAGGCAGCAGUAGGGAAUCUUCCGCAAUGGACGAAAGUCUGACGGAGCAAUGCCGCGUGAGUGAAGAAGGUUUUCGGAUCGUAAAACUCUGUUGUAAGGGAAGAACAAGUACGUUAGUAACUGAACGUACCUUGACGGUACCUUACCAGAAAGCCACGGCUAACUACGUG